rnacentral:rRNA from 1 species
AGUGAACGCUGGCGGCGUGCUUAACACAUGCAAGUCGAACGAGAACGGAAUAUAGCUUGCUAUAUUUGUCAGCUAAGUGGCGCACGGGUGAGUAAUGUAUAGAUAACCUGCCCUUAAGAAAGGAAUAACAGUUGGAAACGACUGCUAAUGCCCUAUAUGCCUUUAAUACAUAAGUAUGCAAGGGAAACGCUUUAGUGCUUAAGGAUGGGUCUGUAUGGUAUCAGCUUGUUGGUGAGGUAAUGGCUCACCAAGGCUAUGACGCCUAACUAGUUUGAGAGGAUGCUCAGUCACACUGGAACUGAGACACGGUCCAGACUCCUACGGGAGGCAGCAGUGGGGAAUAUUGCACAAUGGACGAAAGUCUGAUGCAGCAACGCCGCGUGGAGGAUGGCACAUUUCGGUGCGUAAACUCCUUUUAUAUAGGAAGAUAAUGACGGUACUAUAUGAAUAAGCACCGGCUAACUCCGUGCCAGCCGCCGCAGUAA